rnacentral:tRNA from 1 species
GCCUGAGUGGCUCAGUCGGUUAAGCGUCCGACUUCGGCUCGGGUCAUGAUCUCACAGUUUGUGAGUUCAAGCCCCUCGUCGGGCU